GGAACUCCCAGCCUUACUCGUCGCUCGCCGUCAGCUGGUUGCCCGACAUGUACAACGACUGUGGGCAGAGCAUGCCGAUGACUCACUGCUCCUUUUUUUGAAGAACAGAGAUGGCGAGCAAUCUACCAUUGCAGCUGUAGGUUCGCUAAAAAGUAUGGAUCCAGAUCGGAUCAUUCUGAAGAAAAUUGUUCUGACCAUGUAUCCACAGAGUCUCGAAUCUGAAAUCGAUCGUGUUGUAUAUGUUCCACGAUCCCAACGACGUAAAAUGGUUCAAGGCAAGUAUUUAUGCGCGCCAUUGACAUAUCCAAUUUAUCCAUUUUCGACGCAACGACAAUGUUAUUUUUGCAGCCUAUUGAGUGGUGGACAAAACAUGGUCGUCGUGGCCGCAUCAUGGAGACCGUUGGUUCUCAUGGUGCGUCGGUUCACCAAUCAAAUGCUUUUUGACAGCUUAGAUCUAGUUUAUCAUUAUAUAUAUAUCCCUAUUUCUAGACCUCUUGCUAAUGUUUUCUUUCCCUAAGCAGGUGCCAUGAAAUGUUUAUUCAACAGCAGCAUGAUACUGUGUGCAUGAGCUUGUACAAACACGUGUACCUAAAAUGGCCUUAACAGCUCUACCACGUAUAAGGUUGCCUGACGUUUCGCUAGAUCUGUACCAGCAGGCUAUC